AUUGAACGCUGGCGGCAGGCUUAACACAUGCAAGUCGAACGAGUGGCGGACGGGUGAGUAAUGCUUGGGGAUCUGGCCUAUGGAGGGGGAUAACGACGGGAAACUGUCGCUAAUACCGCAUACCAUCGGAUGAGCCCAAGUGGGAUUAGGUAGUAGGUGGGGUAAUGGCCUACCAAGGCGACGAUCUCUAGCUGGUCUGAGAGGAUGACCAGCCACACCGGGACGUAGACACGGCCCGGACUCCUACGGGAGGCAGCAGUAGGGAAUCUUCGGCAAUGGACGAAAGUCUGACCGAGCAACGCCGCGUGAGUGAAGAAGGCUUUCGGAUUGUAAAACUCUGUCGGUAGAGAAGCGGUAUCCAACCAGAAAGCCCCGGCUAACUACGUGCCAGCAGCCGCGGUAAUAC
rnacentral:rRNA from 1 species